rnacentral:rRNA from 1 species
CCUACGGGAGGCAGCAGUGGGGAAUAUUGGGCAAUGGAGGCAACUCUGACCCAGCAAAGCCGCGUGAAUGAUGAAGGUCUUCGGAUUGUUAAGUUCUGUGAUGGGGGGUGAACACAAUGACAGUACCCCAAUAGCAAGCCACGGUUAACUACGGGCCAGACGCCGCGGUAAUACGUAGGUUGCAAGCGUUAUCCGGAAUGACUGGUCGUAAGGGGUGCGUAGGUGGUUUUGUAAGUUGGCGGUGUAAUUCCGGGGCUCAACCUCGGCGCUACCGCCAAAACUAUUAGACUAGAGUGCAGGAGGGGUAAGUGGAAUGCGUAGUGUAGCGGUGGAAUGCGUAGAUAUUAGGAGGAACACCAGGGGCGAAGGCGACUUACUGGACUGUAACUGACACUGAGGCACGAAAGCGUGGGGAGCAAACAGGAUUAGAUACCCGAGUAGUC